rnacentral:rRNA from 1 species
CUCAGUAACACGUAGUUAAUCUGCCCUUGGGUUGGAGAUAACCCCGGAAAACUGGGAUUAAUAUCCAAUAGAUGAUAGCGCCUGGAAUGGUCUAUCAUUAAAAGAUUCUAGAAACAUGCUUCUAGCAUUUCCCAAGGAUGAGACUGCGUCCGAUCAGGCUGUUGGCGGGGUAACGGCCCACCAAACCUAUAACCGGUACGGGCCCUGAGAGGGGUAGCCCGGAGAUGGAAACUGAGACAAGGUUCCAGGCCCUACGGGGCGCAGCAGGUGCGAAAACUCCACAAUGCGCGAAAGCGUGAUGGGGUUAUCCCGAGUGCUGUCCGAUAAGGAUAGCUUUUCCUUGGUGUAAGAAUCCGAGGGAAUAAAGGGGGGGCAAGACUGGUGUCAGCCGCCGCGGUAAUACCAGCCCCCUGAGUGGUAGGGACGAUUAUUUGGCCUAAAGCGUCCGUAGCCGGUUUAGUAAGUCUUCCGUGAAAUCCAACGACUUAAUCGUUGGGCGUGCGGAGGAUACUGCUAGACUAGAGGAUGGGAGAGGUCGACGGUAGUCCAGGGGUAGGGGUGAAAUCCUAUAAUCCCUGGAGGACCACCAGUGGCGUAGGCGGUCGACUAGAACAUGCCUGA